GAGGACAGUCUGGACUGCAGACUGGAGCAGCAGAGGAGAGUGUAGCAUGUCGCCUGUCCCGAAGUGUUACCAGCUUGUCUCGUGGAGUGAUGAGUGACCGAAGUUCGUCCUGCUCUGAUCUUGCGCGAAGCCGAUUGUGCAGAACUGAAACAGAAAGCAUUUCUAGGUAGAACUUUACUAGAACAGUGCUACAUAAAAUUGACUUAAACGUGCCAUAAACAUGUCAUAGCGGAUGUCGUAUGCCGCUCAUAAGAAAUUCGGUUCAGUAACGUAACAGCGUCGUGUUUUACCAGUAAAUGUCGAGAAAGACGUCGUAGCAUGUCAUGACAUCUGCAGCGAUGUUUGUGACGUGGUUAUGUCAGUGUUAUGUAGCUGCGUUACCCAUUUCUGAAGACACUGACCGAGGAACAGAGCGUCCUCUGAGUCUUACACCACAGCACAGGAUAGAGUGGACACGUCCUCUGAAGCAGUACGAACAUAUUUCCUCUUUUAUUUACAUUCCUUUUUCAAAUGUUAACAUUUUUCGCUAUAACUCAUCAGGGUUGGCAUUUUUUAAUCUUUUCUCAGUAAAAUAAACUUGGCACAAGUAAAACAUA